UUCCGGUUGAUCCUGCCGGACCUGACUGCUAUCGGAUUGAUACUAAGCCAUGCGAGUCAUUGUAGCAAUACAAGGCAUACGGCUCAGUAACGCGUAGUCAACCUAACCUAUGGACGGGAAUAACCUCGGGAAACUGAGAAUAAUGCCCGAUAGAACAUUAUGCCUGGAAUGGUUUAUGUUCCAAAUGAUUUAUCGCCGUAGGAUGGGACUGCGGCCUAUCAGUUUGUUGGUGAGGUAAUGGCCCACCAAGACUAUUACAGGUACGGGCUCUGAGAGGAGUAGCCCGGAGAUGGGUACUGAGACACGGACCCAGGCCCUAUGGGGCGCAGCAGGCGAGAAAACUUUGCAAUGUGCGAAAGCACGACAAGGUUAAUCCGAGUGAUUUGUGCUAAACGAAUCUUUUGUUAGUCCUAGAAACACUAACGAAUAAGGGGUGGGCAAGUUCUGGUGUCAGCCGCCGCGGUAAAACCAGCACCUCAAGUGGUCAGGAUGAUUAUUGGGCCUAAAGCAUCCGUAGCCGGCUCUGUAAGUUUUCGGUUAAAUCUGUACGCUUAACGUACAGGCUGCCGGGAAUACUGCAGAGCUAGGGAGUGGGAGAAGUAGACGGUACUCGGUAGGAAGUGGUAAAAUGCUUUGAUCUAUCGAUGACCACCUGUGGCGAAGGCGGUCUACUAGAACACGUCCGACGGUGAGGGAUGAAAGCUGGGGGAGCAAACCGGAUUAGAUACCCGGGUAGUCCCAGCUGUAAACUAUGCAAACUCAGUGAUGCAUUGGCUUGUGGCCAAUGCAGUGCUGCAGGGAAGCCGUUAAGUUUGCCGCCUGGGAAGUACGUACGCAAGUAUGAAACUUAAAGGAAUUGGCGGGGGAGCACCACAAGGGGUGAAGCCUGCGGUUCAAUUGGAUUCAACGCCGGG
rnacentral:rRNA from 1 species